CCCUUAGAUGUUCUGGGCUGCACACGUGCUACAUUGGCAGGUUCAGCGAGCUUCAUGCCCUGAUCUGAAAGGAAUGGGAAAUCUUUUCAAAACCUGCCGUGCUUGGGAUAGAUGUUUGCAAUUAUUCAUCUUCAACGAGGAUUGCCUUGUAAGCGCACGUCAUCAGCGUGCAUUGAAUACGACCCUGUAUUCUGUACACACCGCCCGUCGCUCCUACCGAUUGAAGUUUUCGGUGAGUUGACAGGAGGAUUUUUUUGAAACUGGUUCGCCAGUGGAUUUUAGAUCCAAAUGCCAACGAAUCGAUGGCUUUAGAGGAAGGAGAAGUCGUAACA
rnacentral:rRNA from 1 species